rnacentral:lncRNA from 1 species
GGCAGCUGGAGACCUUUCUGCCCAGGAAGCCCGGGAAGAAGGAGCUCUCCAAGAGCUGUGCAUGGACAUCCUGGGGUCACUGGAUGUCUCUGUGAGAGGGAUGACCAAACUCCUGUGGCCACGGCUGCUGCUGUACGUGGUGCCAGCCCAGUACACCGGCAUGCUGAUCCCAGUCUCCCGCUGUGUCCAAGCGCUGGCUGAGAGAGGGGACCUGAUGGUGCGGGAGGCAGAAGACCUGGAUCCCCAUUUCCUCAGCUCCAUGUUUCAAGGCCCACUGCUGACUCCCCAGACACUGCUGGCACGCCUGUUGGUGGUGGCAGGGAGCCCUUUUGCAGGCAGCGAACUCCAAGCCGCUGCCUUGCUGCUCAUGCUAAACCUCCACAGCAGGAUCCACAGGGCUGUGGGGGCCAUGUGGGCCGCUGAGAUCCCCCUGCUGCUGCAGUGCCUCCAAGGUAAAGCGCUGGUGGGGAGGGAGGGGCAGAGGCAGG